AUGCUAUACAUGCAGUCGAGCGAAUGGAUUGAGAGCUUGCUCUCAAGAAGUUAGCGGCGGACGGGUGAGUAACACGUGGGUAACCUGCCCAUAAGACUGGGAUAACUCCGGGAAACCGGGGCUAAUACCGGAUAAUAUUUUGAACUGCAUGGUUCGAAAUUGAAAGGCGGCUUCGGCUGUCACUUAUGGAUGGACCCGCGUCGCAUUAGCUAGUUGGUGAGGUAACGGCUCACCAAGGCAACGAUGCGUAGCCGACCUGAGAGGGUGAUCGGCCACACUGGGACUGAGACACGGCCCAGACUCCUACGGGAGGCAGCAGUAGGGAAUCUUCCGCAAUGGACGAAAGUCUGACGGAGCAACGCCGCGUGAGUGAUGAAGGCUUUCGGGUCGUAAAACUCUGUUGUUAGGGAAGAACAAGUGCUAGUUGAAUAAGCUGGCACCUUGACGGUACCUAACCAGAAAGCCACGGCUAACUACGUGCCAGCAGCCGCGGUAAUACGUAGGUGGCAAGCGUUAUCCGGAAUUAUUGGGCGUAAAGCGCGCGCAGGUGGUUUCUUAAGUCUGAUGUGAAAGCCCACGGCUCAACCGUGGAGGGUCAUUGGAAACUGGGAGACUUGAGUGCAGAAGAGGAAAGUGGA
rnacentral:rRNA from 1 species